rnacentral:rRNA from 1 species
AGUGAACGCUGGCGGUAGGCCUAACACAUGCAAGUCGAACGGCAGCACAGUAAGAGCUUGCUCUUACGGGUGGCGAGUGGCGGAUGGGUGAGGAAUACAUCGGAAUCUACUUUUUCGUGGGGGAUAACGUAGGGAAACUUACGCUAAUACCGCAUACGACCUACGGGUGAAAGCAGGGGUUCUUCGGACCUUGCGCGAUUGAAUGAGCCGAUGUCGGAUUGGCUAGUUGGCGGGGUAAAGGCCCACCAAGGCGACGAUCCGUAGCUGGUCUGAGAGGAUGAUCAGCCACACUGGAACUGAGACACGGUCCAGACUCCUACGGGAGGCAGAAGGGGGGAAUAUUGGACAUGGGCGCAAGCCUGAUCCAGCCAUACCGCGUGGGUGAAGAAGGCCUUCGGGUUGUAAAGCCCUUUUGUUGGGAAAGAAAAGCAGCAGGUUAAUACCCCGCUGUUCUGACGGUACCCAAAGAAUAAGCACCGGCUAACUUCGUG